rnacentral:rRNA from 1 species
AACCGUAUAGGGGAGCCGGAGGGAAACCGAGUCUUAACCGGGCGUUAAGUUGCAGGGUAUAGACCCGAAACCCGGUGAUCUAGCCAUGGGCAGGUUGAAGGUUGGGUAACACUAACUGGAGGACCGAACCGACUAAUGUUGAAAAAUUAGCGGAUGACCUGUGGCUGGGGGUGAAAGGCCAAUCAAACCGGGAGAUAGCUGGUUCUCCCCGAAAGCUAUUUAGGUAGCGCCUCGUGAAUUCAUCUCCGGGGGUAGAGCACUGUUUCGGCUAGGGGGCCAUCCCGGCUUACCAACCCGAUGCAAACUGCGAAUACCGGAGAAUGUUAUCACGGGAGACACACGGCGGGUGCUAACGUCCGUCGUGAAGAGGGAAACAACCCAGACCGCCAGCUAAGGUCCCAAAGUCAUGGUUAAGUGGGAAACGAUGUGGGAAGGCCCAGACAGCCAGGAUGUUGGCUUAGAAGCAGCCAUCAUUUAAAGAAAGCGUAAUAGCUCACUGGUCGAGUCGGCCUGCGCGGAAGAUGUAACGGGGCUAAACCAUGCACCGAAGCUGCGGCAGCGAACGUAUCACCCAAGACAACUUUACGGAGUUGACGAUUGACGGAGCGAAGCGACGUCAAAGCGUUCAUUAAAGUCGAGUUGGCUUAGGGAUACGUUCGUUGGGUAGGGGAGCGUUCUGUAAGCCUGUGAAGGUGUGUCGUGAGGCAUGCUGGAGGUAUCAGAAGUGCGAAUGCUGACAUAAGUAACGAUAAAGCGGGUGAAAAGCCCGCUCGCCGGAAGACCAAGGGUUCCUGUCCAACGUUAAUCGGGGCAGGGUGAGUCGACCCCUAAGGCGAGGCCGAAAGGCGUAGUCGAUGGGAAACGGGUUAAUAUUCCCGUACUUGGUGUUACUGCGAAGGGGGGACGGAGAAGGCUAUGUUGGCCGGGCGACGGUUGUCCCGGUUUAAGCGUGUAGGUGUGUGUUCCAGGUAAAUCCGGUUCACUUUAACACUGAGGCGUGACGACGAGGCACUACGGUGCUGAAGCAACAAAUGCCCUGCUUCCAGGAAAAGCCUCUAAGCAUCAGGUAACAUCAAAUCGUACCCCAAACCGACACAGGUGGUCAGGUAGAGAAUACCAAGGCGCUUGAGAGAACUCGGGUGAAGGAACUAGGCAAAAUGGUGCCGUAACUUCGGGAGAAGGCACGCUGACACGUAGGUGAAGUGAUUUACUCAUGGAGCUGAAGUCAGUCGAAGAUACCAGCUGGCUGCAACUGUUUAUUAAAAACACAGCACUGUGCAAACACGAAAGUGGACGUAUACGGUGUGACGCCUGCCCGGUGCCGGAAGGUUAAUUGAUGGGGUCAGCGCAAGCGAAGCUCCUGAUCGAAGCCCCGGUAAACGGCGGCCGUAACUAUAACGGUCCUAAGGUAGCGAAAUUCCUUGUCGGGUAAGUUCCGACCUGCACGAAUGGCGUAAUGAUGGCCAGGCUGUCUCCACCCGAGACUCAGUGAAAUUGAACUCGCUGUGAAGAUGCAGUGUACCCGCGGCAAGACGGAAAGACCCCGUGAACCUUUACUAUAGCUUGACACUGAACAUUGAGCCUUGAUGUGUAGGAUAGGUGGGAGGCUUUGAAGUGUGGACGCCAGUCUGCAUGGAGCCGACCUUGAAAUACCACCCUUUAAUGUUUGAUGUUCUAACGUGGACCCGUAAUCCGGGUUGCGGACAGUGUCUGGUGGGUAGUUUGACUGGGGCGGUCUCCUCCUAAAGAGUAACGGAGGAGCACGAAGGUUGGCUAAUCCUGGUCGGACAUCAGGAGGUUAGUGCAAUGGCAUAAGCCAGCUUGACUGCGAGCGUGACGGCGCGAGCAGGUGCGAAAGCAGGUCAUAGU